GUUAUAGGGUCAAGCGAACAAGUGCAUGUGGUGGAUGCCUUGGCGAUCACAGGCGAUGAAGGACGCGGUAGCCUGCGAAAAGCUACGGGGAGCUGGCAAACGAGCUUUGAUCCGUAGAUGUCCGAAUGGGGAAACCCACUCCUUUUGGAGUAUCCAUGACUGAAUACAUAGGUCAUGUGAAGCGAACGCGGUGAACUGAAACAUCUAAGUAACCGCAGGAAAAGAAAUCAACCGAGAUUCCCAAAGUAGUGGCGAGCGAAAUGGGAAGAGCCUGUACUCUUUAUUUGUAUUGUUAGCCGAACGCUCUGGAAAGUGCGGCCAUAGCAGGUGAUAGCCCUGUAGGCGAAAACAGUAUGAAAGAACUAGGUGUACGACAAGUAGGGCGGGACACGUGAAAUCCUGUCUGAAGAUGGGGGGACCAUCCUCCAAGGCUAAAUACUCGUGAUCGACCGAUAGUGAACCAGUACCGUGAGGGAAAGGUGAAAAGAACCCCGGGAGGGGAGUGAAAUAGAUCCUGAAACCGCAUGCAUACAAACAGUCGGAGCCUCGUAAGGGGUGACGGCGUACCUUUUGUAUAAUGGGUCAGCGACUUACGUUCAGUAGCAAGCUUAACCGAAUAGGGCAGGCGUAGCGAAAGCGAGUCCGAAUAGGGCGUUCAGUUGCUGGGCGUAGACCCGAAACCAAGUGAUCUAUCCAUGGCCAGGAUGAAGGUGCGGUAACACGUACUGGAGGUCCGAACCCACUAACGUUGAAAAGUUAGGGGAUGAGCUGUGGAUAGGGGUGAAAGGCUAAACAAACUUGGAAAUAGCUGGUUCUCUCCGAAAACUAUUUAGGUAGUGCCUCGUGUCUCACCUUCGGGGGUAGAGCACUGUCAUGGUUGGGGGGUCUAUUGCAGAUUACCCCGCCAUAGCAAACUCCGAAUACCGAAGAGUGCAAUCACGGGAGACAGACAUCGGGUGCUAACGUCCGGUGUCAAGAGGGAAACAACCCAGACCGCCAGCUAAGGUCCCCAAAUAUGGCUAAGUGGGAAACGAAGUGGGAAGGCUAAAACAGUCAGGAGGUUGGCUUAGAAGCAGCCACCCUUUAAAGAAAGCGUAAUAGCUCACUGAUCGAGUCGUCCUGCGCGGAAGAUGUAACGGGGCUAAGCCAUAUACCGAAGCUGCGGAUGCGAGCUAGUCUCGCAUGGUAGGAGAGCGUUCCGUAAGCCUGCGAAGGUGCAUUGUAAAGUGUGCUGGAGGUAUCGGAAGUGCGAAUGCUGACAUGAGUAGCGAUAAAGGGGGUGAAAGGCCCCCUCGCCGUAAGCCCAAGGUUUCCUACGCAACGUUCAUCGGCGUAGGGUGAGUCGGCCCCUAAGGCGAGGCAGAAAUGCGUAGCUGAUGGGAAGCAGGUCAAUAUUCCUGCACCAUUGUUAAAUGCGAUGGGGGGACGGAUCGCGGAAGGUUGUCCGGGUGUUGGAAGUCCCGGUCGCUGCAUUGGAGAAGGCGCUUAGGCAAAUCCGGGCGCGGAAUUCAAGGGUGUGGCGCGAGCUUCUUCGGAAGCGAAGCAAUCGGAAGUGGUUCCAAGAAAAGCCUCUAAGCUUCAGUUUAACAGUGACCGUACCGCAAACCGACACAGGUGGGCGAGAUGAGUAUUCUAAGGCGCUUGAGAGAACUCGGGAGAAGGAACUCGGCAAAUUGGUACCGUAA
rnacentral:rRNA from 1 species